UGCUCUGCGAAAUUCAUUCCGAACAUUACGGAAAAUGAAAUAAAUGAAUUUGAUGAGUAGAAAUCAGCCGUUUUAUCCUUACAAAUACUUUUUUGGUUGAUAUUCAAAAUUGCUUGAAAAAAUUAUCUUCAAUCGGAUUUCUUUUUUGUUCAAAAAGAACCGGCUCAACGCAAUGCGUUAUUAACGCAUCGAUACGCAUGCUCGUACAUUUCUGUUACUUCAGAAACUCCGUACCAUUUGACAGUUCGCUAAAAGUAAUAGUAUAUACAAAACAGUUUGCAGAUAGUUCAAGUAAAAAAUCGAAUGAAUAUUAUAGAGACAAUCUUUUGAUGGAUGCACAUUAGUUUCGGCUGUGUUUGAAGAGCGGCAAAAUUCAUAUUAGUGUAUUUGAUAGCUCAGAAUGCAGUUUGUUCAUUGACUCGGUCGUAAGCGGGCACAUUGAUAAAGCAUCAUGAUCUCUUACUCAACUAUAUUCACCCUGAGUGCUGGAGAGAGACGGAGACGGGCUCCGUUCGGUACAAAACGCCCAAUCGAAUUAUAUGAAAAACGAAUUCAAUGACACCGAAGUCGAUACGAAUGAAAGUAUGAAUCAUACCCAGAUGUUAAAAAUGGAUUUCCAGAGUUGGAAACGGAAGAAAUUAACAUCGAUUUUGUUGACUCGUUGUCAAUUUAUCAUGGAAAUAAUGAUGGUGACAAAGUCAAUGAAAUCCAUGACUCACAUUCGAUCGGCGUAAAUUUUGAUUACACCUGUAACAAUGACCAUGGAACUUUGCAUCAAACGAUCUCACAUCACAAGCAAUAACCAAAUCUGAACGGGUUCCAGAACCUACUGACGAUAAUCGGUCAGAUCCAGCUAAGUACUUCGAUGCAGGUCAUGCAGCCAUAGCGAAUGUAAAAAUGUCACAUUUGCUGCAGCAUGAAAAAAUGCACUUUCCACAUAAUAAAUCCAUUCAGUGUUGUGGAAUAGUUUUCAAGAUAAUCAAACGAGUUGAUGAACAUCUGCUGUUCUACUUAAACCCCGACCAAGUUCACAACCGAAGGGCCGAAAUAGUCACAUGUAGAGCGAAUCCACUCAGAAGAAAAACAUACUGCCAAUAUUGGUUAUCAUAUGAUUGAUGGAACUAAUUGAAUCUGGGAAUUCAUUGUCAAGGCACAUUGAACGAAGGCCGAGCUCAAAAUUCAUAUAGAACGAGUUCAUUCAUCAGAUUGUACAAAAUGUCAAUAUGUAACGCUUUUUUUUAAUCAAAUAAGUAUACACUUCAACAGCAUCUAAUAAGACAUAAAUCGCCAAAUGAAGAGGCAUUAAAUCAACAUAUCAAACACAAUCAUUAUCAACAUUCCAUUGACAAAUGCAAUUUGUGUGGAUAAUACUCCAAAGAAUUGACUUCACUCAAGGUGUUUGAUUUUAUUCACAGAAAUUUAAAGAACGGAUCGAAUAGAAUGAAUAUUUCAUAAAUGUGUAUAAUUGUAGUCAUGCGGGUACACACACAGGUGAAAACAUAUUCAUUGGCGUCCAAUCAUCUACAUCAUGUACCAGGCGCAUCCAUCGGAAUGGGUCGAGAGUAAAAAAGUGCAUAAAUUGAAAUCGUUUGUGAUUCGAAUUUUCAAAUAAAUUUCGAAAUAGAAAGAAGGAAAGAAAAAAACAGUCAAAGGAUUUUUUUUUUAUUUAUUUAUUUUUUUUUUUUGUUGUUUUUACAUCUUAGAGUAAGUUUAAUCAUAAAUGGUAAGUCGCUCAGUAGUUGUAGUCACUGAAAACCGUUUUUCUUUUGAUUUAAAAUCAUCAUCAUCAUCAUUUGGUUGUUUUUUUUUUAUUUUGUUUGCUCUACGAAUUUUAUUUACAAAAUUUAUGUACAUACAAAUUGGAAAUAU